GCGCUCCGGCUCCCCGCGCUUGCCUGGCGAGGCCCGGUCCCCGGGCCCUAUUCGGCCAAAACGGCCGCGGCUUCCCCGCGCUGGGGACCCGCGCGCGACCGCCGCUGUGCCGUGCCAGAAAAGGCUCGCCUGCUCCCCGGGACGGCGGAGGGGGGGCAGGCAGAAAGGAGCUCCUAUUCGCUUCUCAUUUACCCAGCGACAAAGUCUGACGUCGCCGCAUCAGGUCCCCAUCCUAAGCAGUUCUCUGCCAGAGGUUUGAUAUCCCGUCUUAGCUGGGGCUGGGCAGGUUCAUGGUGUGAUCCAAAGCUGAGCGUCACCGACACAGAGUGCUAGUUUAUAGCAAGAACUGACUCCGGGGUACUCUCCAGUUCCAUGCCUAUGAUGUAGUCAUCAGAGUUGCAAAGGAUUUCUUUAUAAGGUUCUAACAUUGGAUUACGGUGAUGGUUGUACAACUCCAAAUAUACUAAAACCAUUGAACUUUCAACAGGCGACUUAUGUACACGGGCCUCUCACUGUUGUGACCUCUCCAGUUGCAGAGCACAGGCUCCGGACGUGCAGGCUCAGCGGCCAUGGCUCACGGGCCCAGCCGCUCCGCGGCAUGUGGGAUCUUCCCGGACCGGGGCACGAACCCGUGUCCCCUGCAUCAGCAGGCAGACUCUCAACCACUGCGCCACCAGGGAAGCCCCGAAUCUGCUUUUUAACAAGAUUCUCCAGGAGCUCUGUGAAAAAAUUACUGAGACACUAAGAUGCUGUGAAUUGGGAAAGUUUGGGAACCUCAAGAUUAGAGCUAUACAAACUGUCUCAAAGGGCAAAGGUGGAUUUUAAUGGCUUAAGCUCAAUGGGGACACGGGUUCGAGCCCUGGUCCGGGAAGAUCCCGCAUGCCGCGGAGCAACUAAACCCGUGCACCACAAGUACUGAGCCUGCGUGCCACAACUACUGAGCCCAUGUGCCACAACUAUUGAGCCCAUGUGCCACAACUACUGAAGCCCGUGUGCCUAGAGCCCGUGCUCCACAACAAGAGAAGCCACCGCAAUGAGAAGCCCGCGCACCGCAACGAAGAAUAGCCCCCACUUGCCACAACUAGAGAAAGCCCGUGCACAGCAAUGAAGACCCAACACAGCCAAAAUUAAAAUAAAUAAAAUAAUUUUACUUUUUAAAAAGUGUUUAAAAAAUGUAAAGUAAAAAAAAGUAGAUAUUAACAGCUGCACUUUAUAAAUAAGCUGCACUUUAUAAAUAAAAUCUUCAUGGAGAUAAAAGAAACUGCUUGGAGAAAAGACCUCAUGGAUGGGUGACUCAAAGCCCCCCACCAAAAAAAAAGAAUUUAUGAAACACAUUUUGUGUAGCAUUGAUCUCAUAAAAAUGUAAAUGCAUCUGUACACGCACACAUGUAUUAUUUACUUUUUAUUUUGAACUAAUUUUAAAUUUACUGAAAAGUUGCAGAACUGGUACAGAGCUUUCCCAUAUAUUCCCUCACCCAAGUUUCCCAAUUUUAACUCUAUACAACCGUAGUACAAUUUUCCAAAUGAAGACAUUAACAUUGGUACAAAACUAUUAACUAAGCUGCAGAGAUUAUUCAAAUUUCACCAGAUAUAUUUUAAAUAGUGAAGUCACUACUCUAGGAUGUGCAAAUUUAGUAGAUUCUGGGCCAGAAGAUUUUUGCAGAAUGGGUUGAAACUGUUGCUUUAUUUUGGUUGUAGAUCAGCCAGCUGAGAAUAGAAAAAUUUGACAGCAAUUGUGGAUUGUUCUAUAGAAGAAUAUACAAACCACAGACCUCAAUUAAAAACAUCUCACAUAUUGAUCGAGCCAGUACUGCAAUUCCUAAGCUUGACUAUCAUUUCUGCCAGAAAUAACAAAUCCUUUUGUAUUUAGAGAGAUUAGUCACUUAAUGAAAAAAUGCAUUGAAACAUGAUGCUUGAAUGUGAAUCUGAAAUGGUGUGCAUUUUUGGCCAAGCGAUUGUUUUCCAUCUCUUCUGUAGUCUUUUAUGACCUUUCAUAGGUAGAACCCACCUUAUCGGCUUUUUGGGCCCCUACCGUAACGACUUCACAGAUGUCUGUCAUGGCACCUGUAACAGUUGCUGUAAUUUGGGUAGGUACCUGCUAAACUGUGAGCAACUUGUGGGCAUGACUGUGUCUUGCUAACCCUGGUAGCUCAGUGCCUGGCCUAAUACCUGAAGCAUAGCAGGCCUGCAACACAUGCUCGCUGAAGGAAGGAAAGAAUGAAUUAAACACACAAUAAGUUCACAUCAACAUUUUUUUCCUACCUGAUCUUGUUGGGAAAAGAGCCUGUAACUCGAAAUUAUUCUAGUGAAAAAGACAAUGACGCAUAUAUAUUAAAAAGGAAAAGCUUUCAAGGGCCUUGUGUUUGAGAAACAGGCUUUGAAUGCCAGGUGUGACUUACAAACUGAAUAAAGAAUAUCGCUGUUACAAACAGCACAAGUGUCUGGGUGCUGACUCACUUUAUUCCAUAGAUGUAUUGUACUCUGCAGGUAAUUUUAUCCACCUGAGUAAAACUCGAUUUCCACUUAGGCUGAUGUGUUAUUAAUAGUUAUCAUUAUUAUUCAGCAUUUCUACAGUAUGUGUUUUCAAAGAGUUAUGUUCCUCAUUCUUAAUGAGCUAUGCAGACAGAGGUAAUGAAAGGUAAUCUAGUCUCCCAUGUAGCUGGUAUUCAGUACAUUGUUACUGACUGAUUCAU